GAAGGACUUUGUUUGACCCAGCUGCCAAUCUCCCCUGAAGCCGUGCGCCAGACUAAACACUCACACUAUUUUAACUCAAAUCAGGCUACAGCAGCUGUUUGCUUUCCGGCUCUGAGCUCUGCACCCACGAUGGCCUGUGCCGUUUACCCAGCGAGCUCUGCUAGCUGCCUGGCUGGAAUCUGUUCCGGGUUGGGAGUUGUCAUUGGAGAGCACGUUUUAACCCUCUUCCUCGUGGUAAAUGUGGACCGUUUGUUGUUCGGCAUUUGGAUCGGGAACAAGGCCCGUACCACGCACCUCUAAGAACAAAGAUGGUACCUAUUCACCCUGACCCAGACUUCUUCGACCCCAGCAAGAUGGAAAGUUGGCAUCAGAGGAGCGGAGAGACUCACGUCAUUCUAAGAGUCAGUACUGACUGCUUAAUGCUCCCGCGAGUUCCUCCAGAAGCAACACCCAAGCACGCAAGUGUUGGAUUUUGUCCAAGAGACCAUGUAAUUUAUGAAGGAAGUGUACGUCAUUCACAUUUUCCAGAAAAGAGGACAAAAAACAGAUGUGGAAAACUAAGGCUUGGAGAAUUUAAGAAACUUGCCCAGGAUCACACAAAGUUGCUGUGCCCUUUUGCAGAUGUUGCUAUCUUGCAGAGAAACUUACGUGUUUGCAGCAAGACCCCUGCAAAAUGUUCCAGCCCCAAGGUCCUAAAGUUACCUUAAACUCAUUAGCAUCCUAUCUUCUCCUCUGGGAGGCUCUGAACAGCAUUUUUAGAUGAUGCAAUGUAUGUAACAGCAUGUUUACCUGCCACCCAUACACCCUAAAUGAAUACAGUUGUUACACAGUCGUUACAAAUAAACCUUGUAGUUUCCGCUCUCUUGUGUUUAAAGAGUCUACCGGCACUGAGCUUGGGGAGACCCUGCAUUGAGA
rnacentral:lncRNA from 1 species